GUGAGGUGAACAUGGCAAAGCACAUGUGCACAUAUUAGGAGACUAUCUCAGAUGAUGAUCCAGUUUAUCAUGGCCCAGGAGAGAGGAGGAAGAAAGAAGUAAAGGCCUACUUUUGGAGCAAUUCAAGGUAAAACUCACAUUUAUUAAGUGUCAUCCAUGAGUCCCUUGGGGAUUAUGCUUUAACUCAUCUAUCCUCACCACAACCCUCCAAAAAGUGAGCUAAUAUUCCCAUUGUUCAGAUGAGACACCUGAGCUUCCAAGAGGCUGAGCAACCUGUCUAUGAUCCCACAGCUAGGAUGUGGCAAAGUUGGGAUACAGACCACCAAAGGUGAGCUAAGGAGAGACCUCCAACUGUAGCAUGGUUCUGAGAUCUGGUCAUCAGCUGCUCUCUGACAUGAACGUGAGAGCUCCUUAAAGACUGGUCCAUCAGCCUCUUGACCAUGGAUUUUCUGAUUUCCUUCAUUUGCCUAGAUCCCAUAAAAAAGAAACCACAUCUAUAUAUUACCUUUGACUGAUUGUCUCUGCCACCCUCACAUCUCAGGGAAUUAGAAUAUUAGAGUAAAAACCAAAAGCCACAUCAAUAAUCCAACAUCUUCUUGUGAGGAAGAUUCCAUGGACUAAAUCAGUAUUAUAUUAACUACCUUUUACACAGUUCUUUGCAUUUGUCAAAGAAGAAGUUAUGCAUAUAUUACCCCAGUUAUGGCAGAUUUUAAAAUUGAUGUGAUUGCACAGACAGAAUUGCCCCUAGAGUCUUGUAAUCUGGCAUUGGGAUGGGAACCUGGAGUGUUAGAAUUAUAGAGCAUCAGUGCCAUCCAAUGGAAUUACUGUAGCAUUAUAAAACCAUGGGUCCUACAUGUGAUGGAAUGCUAGUCCUGGAGAAUGAUAAUGCUUAGGAUUCUCUUCAUGUGAGGUGUCAUACUGGCAUGGACCCUAUUUAGGUGAAUGAUUUUUUGUCUCUGAGUUGGAAGGAGAACUAAUAUUUAUUGAACUUCUGCUUUGGUCCAACUCAGUGCCAGGCAUUUCAUAUUCUUCAUAUAAACUAUAUAGUAAGUAUCCAAUUAAUGAUGAAGAAACUAGAUCAGAGAGGUUCAGAACUGCUCUAGGACAUGUGGAUAUGAUCUGCCAGGGGUUCCUGUAGAAUUCAUCGGUUAGUGAGUAUGGUGAAACUCAGACCUUUGGGUAAGGAGCGUCCAUCAGGAAAGGUGAUGGGCUUGCUGAGCUUUCUGCCAACCAUUGGUACAGGAGGAUAAAUUCGCAGUGACUCCUUAAUGCACAUGGUGGUAUAGGGCAUCUGAUCCAGAUGAUCCCUGAAAUGAAUGAAGCCCAAUCUGAGGGCAGGCAGGGCCCACGCAGACCAGAGCUUACUGUUUAGCUGAGUAGGUAGGAUUCUCCCAUCUCCUGAGCACUCACCAGGUAAUGGAGGCACCAUCUCCUAGGAGGCUCUGAAUCUCCUGGCGACACCUCUGUUGAUGCUCUGGGUGGGAAGCCAGAGCAUAGAGAAUCCAGGAGAUGCCACUGGCUGUGGUGUCAUGACCCCCGAACAUGAAUGUAUCCACUUCAGCACGGAGGUCCUUGUCAGACAAGCUACUUCCAUCCUUCAUCUGGAAAAGGAAGGUGAGAGUGUACUUCUUGCCCCCUCCUCUGCCCUUCUGGGCAAAGCCUCAGGCCCCUCCUACAGACACUUACUUUGGCAAAGAGGAGGAUGUCCAGGAAAUCCAACUUCUUCUUUCUCCUGACCCUCUCAAGAUCUUCCUCAUCCUGCAGAUACGCCUUUCUCAGUUUGAUCACUUGGUCUGUACCAGAACAAUGAUUCCCAGGCACAGUUGAGUGCUCUGGGUGGCC